rnacentral:rRNA from 1 species
AUUAAGCCAUGCAUGUGUAAGUAGAGUUGAUAUAAAGCGAAACUGCGAACGGCUCAUUACAACAGAUAUAAUUUACUUGUUCUAUUCCUUUAAACGGAUAACUGCGGUAAUUCUGGAGCCAAUACNGUGCGUAAUAAGUACUUUUUCAGCAAUGAGAAGUAUGCACCUUAUCGGAGCAAAACUAAUCUUGUUUUAUGCUAACUCUGGGUAACACUGCUUAUCGCACGACUUUACGUCGGCGAAAUUACAUUCAAGUAUCUGCCUUAUCAACUUUCGAUGGUAGUGUAUUGGACUGCCAUGGUGUUGACGGGUAACGGAGAAUCAGGGUUCGACUCCGGAGAGGGAGCCUUAGAAACGGCUACCAUGUCUAAGGACAGCAGCAGGCGCGCAACUUAUCCACUGUUCAUUGAACGAGAUAGUGACGAGAAAUAACAAGUCCGUUCUCUUUGAGGUCGGACAUUGGAAUGGAUGAAAUCUAAACAAUUUCAUGAGUACCUACGAGAGGGCAAGUCUGGUGCCAGCAGCCGCGGUAAUUCCAGCUCUCGUAAUGUAUAGAAUUAUUGUUGCGGUUAAAAAGUUCGUAGUUGGAUUUUCUACUGCUCGGGGGUCGGCUCUAACGAGACGUACUUCUGGCAGUGUUUGCAUUCGAUUUGGAAGCAAUUUCAAAUUGGAUGCGGAUUACUUUGAACGGCUUAAGUGCUCAAGGCGAGUCUUCGGACUGAAUACCGGUGCAUGGAAUAAUGGAACAAGGUUUCGGCCGAGUUUUAUUGGUUUUGUCGGCUAAAACAAUGGUUAACAGGAACAGCUGGGGGCACUCGUAUCGCUGCGCGAGAGGUGAAAUUCGUGGACCGCAGCGAGACGCCCUAAAGCGAAGGCAUUUGCCAAGAGUGUUUUCAUUAAUCAAGAACGAAAGUCAGAGGUUCGAAGGCGAUUAGAUACCGCCCUAGUUCUGACCGUAAACGAUGCCAACUAUCAAUCCGCCAGUAGCUUUUAGUUAUUGGCGGGAGGAUCGACGGAAACGAAAGUUUUUCGGUUCCGGGGGAAGUAUGGUUGCAAAGCUGAAACUUAAAGGAAUUGACGGAAGGGCACCACCAGGAGUGGAGCUUGCGGCUUAAUUUGACUCAACACGGGAAACCUCACCCGGCCAGUACAUCAUAAGGAUUGACAGAUUGAAAGCUCUUUCAUGAUUUGAUGAAUGGUGGUGCAUGGCCGUUCUUAGUUCGUGGUGUGAACUGUCUGCUUAAUUGCGAUAACGAGCGAGACUCCGACUGUUAAAUAGUGARUGGUUUAUUACUGACCAUUACACUUCUUAACGGGAUUCGCAACUUCAAGUUGCAAGAAAUGGAGCAAUAACAGGUCUGUGAUGCCCUUAGAUGUUCGGGGCGGCACGCGUGCUACAAUGAUGGUAACAGCGUGAUUGUCCUCGCCCGACAGGGCUUGGCAAACAGUUGAGAUAUUAUUAUGGCUGGAAUUGAGUGUUGAAAUUUUCUCUCAUGAACGAGGAAUUCCAAGUAAAUGCGAGUCAUCAACUCGCAUUGAUUACGUCCCUGCCCUUUGUACACACCGCCCNGUCGCUACCCGGGACUGAGUUAUUUCGAGAAAUCUACGGACUUUUUGUUGGGAAGCAAUUCUCURCUUAAUGGAAAGUAAAUUAAUCGCAAUAAUUUGAACCGGGU